rnacentral:rRNA from 1 species
UACGUAGGGGGCGAGCGUUGUCCGGAGUUACUGGGCGUAAAGGGCAUGCAGGCGGUCGGACGCGUUUCGGGUGACAGCGGGUGGCUUAACUACCCGAGUGGUCGAAAGACGGUUUGACUUGAGGACGCGAGAGGGACACGGAAUUCCGGGUGGAGUGGUGAAAUGCGUAGAUAUCUGGAGGAACACCGGUGGCGAAGGCGGCAUCCUGGACCGGUAUUGACGCUGAGGCGCGAAAGCUAGGGGAGCAAACGGG